rnacentral:tRNA from 1 species
GUCGGGGUAGCUCAAUGGUGGAGCAGGCGCUUCAUAAGCGCCCGGUUGUGGGUUCGACUCCCGCCCCCGACACAA